AUCCAUCUGACGAGUCCCAAAAAGAACGAAAUGCGCAUUAUACUGGAU
rnacentral:hammerhead_ribozyme from 1 species